UACGGAGGGUGCAAGCGUUAUCCGGAAUCAUUGGGUUUAAAGGGUCCGCAGGCGGAUUUAUAAGUCAGUGGUGAAAGCCUAUCGCUUAACGAUAGAACUGCCAUUGAUACUGUAAGUCUUGAAUUCGGUCGAAGUGGGCGGAAUGUGUAGUGUAGCGGUGAAAUGCAUAGAUAUUACACAGAACACCGAUAGCGAAGGCAGCUCACUAGGCCUGGAUUGACGCUCAGGGACGAAAGCGUGGGGAUCAAACAGGAUUAGAUACCCUGGUAGUCCACGCUGUAAACGAUGAUUACUCGUUUUCGGCGAUAUACAGUCGGAGACUAAGCGAAAGUGAUAAGUAAUCCACCUGGGGAGUACGAUCGCAAGGUUG
rnacentral:rRNA from 1 species